UGGGGGAUAUUGCACAAUGGGAGAAAGCCUGCUGCAGCGACGCCGCGUGGGGGAUGAAGGCCUUCGGGUUGUAAACUUCUUUUGCUCUGAACAAGGCAUGCUUUUGGGGUGUGUUGAGUGUAGGGGUUGAUUAGCGCCGGCUAACUACGUGCCAGCAGCCGCGGUAAUACGUAGGGCGCGAGCGUUGUCCGGAAUUAUUGGGCGUAAAGGGCUUGUAGGUGGCUGGUUGCGUCUGUCGUGAAAGCUCAUGGCUUAACUGUGGGUUUGCGGUGGGUACGGGCUGGCUUGAGUGCAGUAGGGGAGGCUGGAAUUCCUGGUGUAGCGGUGGAAUGCGCAGAUAUCAGGAGGAAUACCGGUGGCGAAGGCGGGUCUCUGGGCUGUUACUGACGCUGAGGAGCGAAAGCGUGGGGAGCGAACAGG
rnacentral:rRNA from 1 species